rnacentral:ncRNA from 1 species
GUUAAAACGUUUGAAGAGGAUUAGUAUAAUUUUAAUGUCUUUUAAGAGAGGAAAUGGGUGGUGCGAAUUUCUAAAGACAUGAAUUAGAACCUACCUUUUUAGUUCGCUGUCGGAAAGCUUUUGGCUGUAAGAUAGCGCGGUUCAUAACCGUUACGAAGGAAAAGUGUGCAAGUGGGAAUCCCUCUUGCAAACAAGGGUGGUAACGCCAAACCUCGGUCCCUUUA